CUACGGGACGCACCAGUGAGGAAUAUUGGGCAAUGGAGGCAACUCUGACCCAGCCAUGCCGCGUGCAGGAAGACGGCCCUCUGGGUUGUAAACUGCUUUUGUUUGGGAAUAAACCCUUCUACGUGUAGGAGGCUGAAGGUACCAUUCGAAUAAGGAUCGGCUAACUCCGUGCCAGCAGCCGCGGUAAUACGGAGGAUCCAAGCGUUAUCCGGAUUUAUUGGGUUUAAAGGGUCCGUAGGCGGGUCUUUAAGUCAGUGGUGAAAGCCCACAGCUCAACUGUGGAACUGCCAUUGAUACUGGAGAUCUCGAGUGUAGUAGAAGUAGGCGGAAUAGGGCAUGUAGCGGUGAAAUGCAUAGAUAUGCCCUAGAACACCGAUUGCGAAGGCAGCUUACUAUGUUACAACUGACGCUGAGGGACGAAAGCGUGGGGAGCAAACAGGAUUAGAUACCCGGGUAGUC
rnacentral:rRNA from 1 species